AUACGUAGGGGGCGAGCGUUGUCCGGAAUUACUGGGUGUAAAGGGCGUGUAGGCGGGGAUGCAAGUUAUCGGUCAAAACCCGGGGCUCAACCUCGGGCUUGCCGGUAAAACUGUAUCUCUUGAGUAUAGGAGAGGGAAGUGGAAUUCCCGGAGUAGCGGUGAAAUGCGUAGAUACCGGGAGGAACACCAGUGGCGAAGGCGGCUUCCUGGCCUAUUACUGACGCUGAGGCGCGAAAGCUAGGGUAGCGAACGGGAUUAGAUACCCCGGUAGUCCUAGCCGUAAACGAUGGUUACUAGGUGUGGGUGGUGGUCAAGCCAUCCGUGCCGGAGCUAACGCAAUAAGUAACCCACCUGGGGAGUACGGCCGCAAGGUUGAA
rnacentral:rRNA from 1 species